rnacentral:tRNA from 1 species
GAGGAUUUAGCUCAGUGGUAGAGUGCUUGCCUAACAAGCACAAGGGCCUGGGUUCAGUCCUCA